rnacentral:rRNA from 1 species
UCCAGACUCCUACGGGAGGCAGCAGUGAGGAAUAUUGGUCAAUGGGCGAGAGCCUGAACCAGCCAAGUCGCGUGAGGGAAGACGGUCCUAUGGAUUGUAAACCUCUUUUGUCGGGGAGCAAAAAGGCCUCGUGAGGCCACAAGUGAGAGUACCCGAAGAAAAAGCAUCGGCUAACUCCGUGCCAGCAGCCGCGGUAAUACGGAGGAUGCGAGCGUUAUUCGGAUUUAUUGGGUUUAAAGGGUGCGCAGGCGGCGAGUUAAGUCAGCGGUAAAAUUUCGGGGCUCAACCCCAACAAGCCGUUGAAACUGGCUUGCUAGAGUGGGCGAGAAGUAUGCGGAAUGCGUGGUGUAGCGGUGAAAUGCAUAGAUAUCACGCAGAACUCCGAUUGCGAAGGCAGCAUACCGGCGCCCAACUGACGCUCAGGCACGAAAGCGUGGGUAUCGAACAGGAUUAGAUACCCCCGUAG